CAGCUGUACACAUCCUUCUACACUGUAUGCAAACAUGCAACAUCAUAACACACAGUACAAGGAGUCAGACUGGCAUAUGAGGAGCAAAGGAACCCAGGCAGUAGCAUCGUUUCACAAUGUUUCCAUCACCAUCAUCAGUGGAUGCCUUUGCCGUCCGUAGCCUGAGAUUUCAGAUUUGCAGCAAAUUUUUUUUGAUUUUCUCAUUUAUUGGAAUGCUGUGCAGGUAUUUGUACCUUGCAGCCAUCCAUUACAAUGUCACCAAGCCGUAACAAAAGCAGGAGGGAAAGUACAAGGCUAUGUUCCCAAAACACACAAGUGACAUACCUUAUGUGGAGGAUGUGAUCAGGCUUGUGUUUGAUGAGGUAUUUGAAGAUAAGCUGAAGGAAACCCCGAUUCCAAUGGACCUGGCAUCACAGUUUGAGAGACCUUCAAAGGAGGACGUGAUUGCAUGCCAUCUUCAGUGCA